AUGAACGCUGGCGGCGUGCCUAAUACAUGCAAGUCGAGCGAACAGAUGAGGAGCUUGCUCCUCUGACGUUAGCGGCGGACGGGUGAGUAACACGUGGAUAACCUACCUAUAAGACUGGGAUAACUUCGGGAAACCGGAGCUAAUACCGGAUAAUAUAUUGAACCGCAUGGUUCAAUAGUGAAAGACGGUUUUGCUGUCACUUAUAGAUGGAUCCGCGCCGCAUUAGCUAGUUGGUAAGGUAACGGCUUACCAAGGCGACGAUGCGUAGCCGACCUGAGAGGGUGAUCGGCCACACUGGAACUGAGACACGGUCCAGACUCCUACGGGAGGCAGCAGUAGGGAAUCUGCCGCAAUGGGCGAAAGCCUGACGGAGCAACGCCGCGUGAGUGAUGAAGGUCUUCGGAUCGUAAAACUCUGUUAUUAGGGAAGAACAAAUGUGUAAGUAACUAUGCACGUCUUGACGGUACCUAAGCAGAAAGCCACGGCUAACUACGU
rnacentral:rRNA from 1 species